GCCGAGGGGGUGGAACUGGUAGACACGCUAUCUUGAGGGGGUAGUGGGAGAAAUCCCGUGGGGGUUCGAGUCCCCCCCUCGGCACCA
rnacentral:tRNA from 1 species